AACGGAAGAAACCAGAAAGCCCAAGAAAACGGUUCCUGUCAGUUGCAAGGAAGAGCUGUUGCCAAUCAGAAUCUCACGGCACAAAAUCGAGAAAUGGUGCCACGCUCCUUUCUUUAACAAGAUUAUGCUGGGAGCCUAUGUACGAAUAGGCAUCGGUAACAACAAUGGAAGACCUGUGUACAGGAUUGCCGAGGUUGUUGAAGUUGUAGAGACAGCAAAGGUUUAUCAGCUCGGCUCUACACGGACGAAUAAAGGUUUGAAGUUAAGG